rnacentral:rRNA from 1 species
GUUAUAUGGUCAAGCGAAUAAGCGCACACGGUGGAUGCCUUGGCGGUCAGAGGCGAUGAAGGACGUGGCAGCCUGCGAAAAGUAUCGGGGAGCUGGCAACAAGCUUUGAUCCGGUAAUGUCCGAAUGGGGAAACCCACCCGCUUGCGGGUAUCCUGCAGUGAAUACAUAGCUGCUGGAAGCGAACCUGGUGAACUGAAAUAUCUAAGUAACCAGAGGAAAAGAAAUCAACCGAGAUUCCGUAAGUAGCGACGAGCGAACGCGGACUAGCCCUUAAGCUGAUUUGGUUCUAGGAAAACGCUCUGGAAAGAGCGGCCAUAGAAGGUGAUAGCCCUGUAUCUGAAAGGGCCAUUCCAGUGAAGACGAGUAGGGCGGGGCACGUGAAACCCUGUCUGAACAUGGGGGGACCAUCCUCCAAGGCUAAAUACUACUGACCGACCGAUAGUGAACCAGUACCGUGAGGGAAAGGCGAAAAGAACCCCGGAGAGGGGAGUGAAAUAGAACCUGAAACCGUGUGCGUACAAGCAGUAGGAGCUCCGCAAGGAGUGACUGCGUACCUUUUGUAUAAUGGGUCAGCGACUUACUGUUCGUGGCAAGCUUAACCGUAUAGGGGAGGCGAAGGGAAACCGAGUCUGAUAAGGGCGCAUAGUCGCGGGCAGUAGACCCGAAACCGGGUGAUCUAGUCAUGCCCAGGGUGAAGGUGCGGUAACACGCACUGGAGGCCCGAACCCACUCCCGUUGCAAAGGUAGGGGAUGAGGUGUGAUUAGGAGUGAAAAGCUAAUCGAACCCGGAGAUAGCUGGUUCUCCUCGAAAGCUAUUUAGGUAGCGCCUCAUAUGUAUCCUCUCGGGGGUAGAGCACUGUUAUGGCUAGGGGGUCAUCGCGACUUACCAAACCAUUGCAAACUCCGAAUACCGAGACGGACUGUAUGGGAGACACACGGCGGGUGCUAACGUCCGUCGUGAAAAGGGAAACAACCCAGACCCACAGCUAAGGUCCCAAAUUUUGUGCUAAGUGGAAAACCAUGUGGAAAGGCACAGACAGCCAGGAGGUUGGCUUAGAAGCAGCCACCCUUUAAAGAAAGCGUAAUAGCUCACUGGUCGAGUCGGUCUGCGGGGAAGAUUUAACGGGGCUAAGCACAGAACCGAAGCUUGGGGUGCAUAACUUUGUUAUGCGCGGUAGAGGAGCGUUCCGUAAGCCGUUGAAGGUGGAUUGAGAAGUCUGCUGGAGGUAUCGGAAGUGCGAAUGCUGACAUGAGUAACGAUAAUGCGGGUGAAAAACCCGCACGCCGAAAGCCCAAGGUUUCCUUGCGCAACGUUAAUCGGCGCAGGGUGAGUCGGCCCCUAAGGCGAGGACGAAAGUCGUAGUCGAUGGGAAGCAGGUUAAUAUUCCUGCACCUCGCGUAAGUGCGAUGGAGGGACGGAGAAGGUUAGGUGUACCAGGCGUUGGUUGUCCUGGGGAAAGGCGGUAGGUUUGGAUCUUUGGCAAAUCCGGGAUCCUCUAAGACCGAGCACCGAGACGAGCCUUUAUGGCGAAGUCACUGAUACCACGCUUCCAGGAAAAGCUCCUAAGCUUCAGCUUACGCAGACCGUACCGUAAACCGACACAGGUGGGUAGGAUGAGAAUUCUCAGGCGCUUGAGAGAACUCGGGUGAAGGAACUAGGCAACAUGGCACCGUAACUUCGGGAGAAGGUGCACCCUUUUUGGUGGCUCGUGCGAGCUAUAGCUGAAGAGGGUCGCAGUAACCAGGCCGCUGCGACUGUUUAUCAAAAACACAGCACUCUGCAAACACGAAAGUGGACGUAUAGGGUGUGACGCCUGCCCGGUGCUGGAAGGUUAAUUGAUGGGGUCAGCCGCAAGGCGAAGCUCUUGAUCGAAGCCC